rnacentral:rRNA from 1 species
GACGAACGCUGGCGGCGUGGAUUAGGCAUGCAAGUCGAACGGUAUCAUCCUUUCGGGGGUGAGAGAGUGGCGAACUGGUGAGUAACACGUAGGUUAUCUACCCUCAAGACGGGGACAACCCAGGGAAACUUGGGCUAAUACCGGAUGUGAGCAACUUUUAGUUGUUUGAAAGGUGGCGUAAGCUGUCGCUUGGGGAUGAGCCUGCGUCCUAUUAGUUAGUUGGUGAGGUAACGGCUCACCUAGGCAAUGAUAGGUAGGCGGCCUUAACGGGUGGUCGCCCACACUGGGAUUGAGAUACGGCCCAGACUCCUACGGGAGGCAGCAGUCGAGAAUAGUCUACAAUGGUCGGAAGACUGAUAGUGCGACGCCGCGUGAACGAUGAAUCCCUUCGGGGUGUAAAGUUCUUUUAUAUGUGAGCAGUGCUUCUUAUAUUAACAGUAUGGGGAGAGAGAUAUUAGCAUAUGAAUAAAGCAACGGCUAACUCCGUGCCCAGCAGCCGCGGUAAAACGU